CUAUCCAAGCGUCGCGACUAUACGUUAGGCUAAGCCUAUGUUAAGGCCCUGCGGCUGCUAUAGGCCCUAAAAUGUAGUAGCGGGACCGCCGUCGCGUCGAGCGUAGUGCUAGGCUCGCUCCGGCGCGGUACGGCCUCUAGCCCGAACCCCCCUACUAGCGAAGCAACCUCGGAUUAGGUAGGAAUACCCGCUAAACUUAA
rnacentral:misc_RNA from 1 species